rnacentral:rRNA from 1 species
UACGGAGGGUGCAAGCGUUAUCCGGAUUUACUGGGUUUAAAGGGUGUGUAGGCGGGCCAUUAAGUCAGGGGUGAAAUCCCGGAGCUCAACUCCGGAACUGCCCUUUGAUACUAUUGGUCUUGAAUGUUGUUGAGGUGGGCGGAACGGGUCAUGUAGCGGUGAAAUGCAUAGAUAUGACCCGGAACACCGAUUGCGAAGGCAGCCCGCUAAGCACUAUUGACGCUGAGGCACGAAAGCGUGGGAUCAAACAGG